CACGUGGGUGAUCUGCCCUGCACUUUGGGAUAAGCCUGGGAAACUGGGUCUAAUACCGAAUACACCCUGCUGGUCGCAUGGCCUGGUGGGGGAAAGCUUUUGCGGUGUGGGAUGGGCCCGCGGCCUAUCAGCUUGUUGGUGGGGUGAUGGCCUACCAAGGCGACGACGGGUAGCCGGCCUGAGAGGGUGUCCGGCCACACUGGGACUGAGAUACGGCCCAGACUCCUACGGGAGGCAGCAGUGGGGAAUAUUGCACAAUGGGCGCAAGCCUGAUGCAGCGACGCCGCGUGAGGGAUGACGGCCUUCGGGUUGUAAACCUCUUUCAGCAGGGACGAAGCGCAAGUGACGGUACCUGCAGAAGAAGCACCGGCCAACUACGUGCCAGCAGCCGCGGUAAUACGUAGGGUGCGAGCGUUGUCCGGAAUUACUGGGCGUAAAGAGCUCGUAGGUGGUUUGUCGCGUUGUUCGUGAAAACUCACAGCUCAACUGUGGGCGUGCGGGCGAUACGGGCAGACUGGAGUACUGCAGGGGAGACUGGAAUUCCUGGUGUAGCGGUGGAAUGCGCAGAUAUCAGGAGGAACACCGGUGGCGAAGGCGGGUCUCUGGGCAGUAACUGACGCUGAGGAGCGAAAGCGUGGGGAGCGAACAGGAUUAGAUACCCUGGUAGUCCACGCCGUAAACGGUGGGUACUAGGUGUGGGUUUCCUUCCUUGGGAUCCGUGCCGUAGCUAACGCAUUAAGUACCCCGCCUGGGGAGUACGGCCGCAAGGCUAAAACUCAAAGAAAUUGACGGGGGCCCGCACAAGCGGCGGAGCAUGUGGAUUAAUUCGAUGCAACGCGAAGAACCUUACCUGGGUUUGACAUGCACAGGACGCUGGUAGAGAUAUCAGUUCCCUUGUGGUCUGUGUGCAGGUGGUGCAUGGCUGUCGUCAGCUCGUGUCGUGAGAUGUUGGGUUAAGUCCCGCAACGAGCGCAACCCCUAUCUUAUGUUGCCAGCGCGUUAUGGCGGGGACUCGUAAGAGACUGCCGGGGUCAACUCGGAGGAAGGUGGGGAUGACGUCAAGUCAUCAUGCCCCUUAUGUCCAGGGCUUCACACAUGCUACAAUGGCCGGUACAAAGGGCUGCGAAUCCGUGAGGUGGAGCGAAUCCCUUGAAAGCCGGUCUCAGUUCGGAUCGGGGUCUGCAACUCGACCCCGUGAAGUCGGAGUCGCUAGUAAUCGCAGAUCAGCAACGCUGCGGUGAAUACGUUCCCGGGCCUUGUACACACCGCCCGUCACGUC
rnacentral:rRNA from 1 species